GACGAACGCUGGCGGCGUGCUUAACACAUGCAAGUCGAACGGAAAGGCCCUGCUUUUGUGGGGUGCUCGAGUGGCGAACGGGUGAGUAACACGUGAGUAACCUGCCCUUGACUUUGGGAUAACUUCAGGAAACUGGGGCUAAUACCGGAUAGGAGCUCCUGCUGCAUGGUGGGGGUUGGAAAGUUUCGGCGGUUGGGGAUGGACUCGCUGCUUAUCAGCUUGUUGGUGGGGUAGUGGCUUACCAAGGCUUUGACGGGUAGCCGGCCGGAGAGGGUGACCGGCAACAUGUGGACUGAGGGUCGCCCGAGGCCCCUAGGGGUGGGAUAAGGGGGGAACUUUGCAUAACGGGCUGAAGCCUUGUGGCGCAUCGCCGGGUGAGGGGAGCCGCCUUUCGGGUUGAAAACCGCUUUUGCUUGUUACGAAGCGUGGGAGACGGUAAUGGAAAAGGCAGCAACGGACAAUUCCGU
rnacentral:rRNA from 1 species